rnacentral:ncRNA from 2 species
UAGUUUCUUCGGGGCAGGGUGUAAUUCCCGACCGACGGUAACAAGCUUAGUGCUUGAAGUCCGUGACCCGCUUUGUGCGGUGGAUCUAGUGAGAAUCUAGAACCGACAGUUAAAGUCUGGAUGGGAGAAGAAAAAG